rnacentral:lncRNA from 1 species
AUGAUACGCAUAUCUAUGUGGACGAAUUUAUCAACGACUGGUUAACGGGCAAUUUGGGAACAGCAUUAGAGGCUGUUACAUUAUUCCAUCAUCUUGAUGUUGAUAACAGUGGCUAUAUCAGCGAGAAUCCAGAUAUGCCCUUCAUUAUGCACUUCUUUGACAGAGAUCGUAAGUAACUUUUUUACUGGAAGUUACCUGUAAAAAAAUGAGUACAUCAUGCAACUCUGUUGGGUUUCAAAGACAUAAUUGGUUCUGCUUUACAAUCCAAUAUGGCGGCAGACACCCAUACUACAUUAAAAGUAAAGAAUUUAGGUUUGAUUAAGUUUGACAAAAUAAAAUUUUCUAAAGAGAUGGAAUAUGUGACUUUGAAAUUUCUCUACUUUUAAGGUAGGCCGGGUGUCUUUCGCCAUCUUGAACAAGGAUUUGAUAGUAUUUCAAAAUAUGGCUUUUCAAACUACAUGUUUAAUUAAACAAUUAAAGAAAAGUAAGGGUUCGCGGGGAUUUUUUUUAUGGCACUAAAUGGAUAAAAUCAGAGGAAUCCGAAUAUCUGACAAAAAUAUAAAAAAAAAAACAAGAGGAGCAAAUAACCCUUAGUAUUCUGUUUAAUUUCAUAUAAUAUCUAUUUUUCAGUUGAUGGACAUAUAAGUCAAGCAGAAUUUGUUAUCCAGUGGGUGAAGAUUAAAAACUCUUAGAAAUCAUGACAACGGAAUAUUUCUACCUCAAUAAAUACAAGUUCUUCCUG